AUCAUCAUCGAAAAGAUCUGAUCAUUGCAAUACAGUCACACAGUAUGUCUAACCUCUACGAAUCAUCCACACGAAGCUCUCGAUCUGAUCAGCUCCUCACGAAUGCUAGUUCGUUGCAGAAUCCUUUCGAUAGCUGAUGCUGAUCGAACUCCUUCGAUCAGUGUCUGCCGAUUCUUUGGAUACUCUGGAUCGUCAGCAA
rnacentral:lncRNA from 1 species